rnacentral:rRNA from 1 species
UAACAAGGAUUCCCUUAGUAACUGCGAGUGAACCGGGAUGAGCUCAAAUUUAAAAUCUGGCGGUUUUGCCGUCCGAGUUGUAAUCUGGAGAAGCGUUUUCCGCGUCGGACCGUGUACAAGUCUCUUGGAAUAGUGCGUCAUAGAGGGUGAGAAUCCCGUCCAUGACACGGACUCCCGAUGCUAUGUGAUACGCUCUCAAAGAGUCGAGUUGUUUGGGAAUGCAGCUCAAAAUGGGUGGUAAAUUCCAUCUAAAGCUAAAUAUUGGCGAGAGACCGAUAGCGAACAAGUACCGUGAGGGAAAGAUGAAAAGCACUUUGGAAAGAGAGUUAAACAGUACGUGAAAUUGUUGAAAGGGAAACGCUUGAAGUCAGUCGCGUCGUGCGGAGCUCAGCCUUGCUUCUGCUUGGUGUAUUCUCCGUAUUGACGGGUCAACGUCAAUUUCGGCCGGUGGAGAAGGGCCUAGGGAAUGUGGCGUCGUUUCGGCGACGUGUUAUAGCCUUGGGUCGUAUGCAUCGGCCGGGAUUGAGGACCGCAGCACGCCCUUGUGGCCGGGGGUUCGCCCCACGUUCGUGCUUAGGAUGUUGGCAAAAUGGCUUUAAGCGAC